rnacentral:lncRNA from 1 species
UUAACCCCUUUGAGCUUAAACAGUUGAAUCUCAGCUUGAAAUAAAGCGAGAUGUCAAAAAUCUUUUUUCUUGAAACCCGGAAAAUUUUGAUAAUUGUUCUUUUGCCGUAAAAAGUCAAGAGCAUUCACUUAGGGUGAGUAAGAAAUAAGUUGGGGAGAACGAAAAAGAGAAUCGGUAAGUGCCACAACUCUUGAAAAACCGAGCAAGCAUUGAAAAUAAAAAAAAAAUAAAAAUAUAGAAAAGAGAAACAUCUGUUUUGUAAAUAUGAUGUGAAAGAAAA